CCCAGACUCCUACGGGAGGCAGCAGUGGGGGAUAUUGCACAAUGGGCGGAACCCUGAUGCAGCGACGCCGCGUGGGUGAAGGAGCGUUUCGGCGCGUAAAGCCCUAUCGGCAGGGAAGAAGGAGGACGGUACCUGACUAAGAAGCCCCGGCUAACUACGUGCCAGCAGCCGCGGUAAUACGUAGGGGGCAAGCGUUAUCCGGAUUUACUGGGUGUAAAGGGGGCGCAGACGGCGAUGCAAGCCAGGAGUGAAAGCCCGGGGCCCAACCCCGGGACUGCUCUUGGAACUGCGUGGCUGGAGUGCAGGAGGGGCAGGCGGAAUUCCUGGUGUAGCGGUGAAAUGCGUAGAUAUUAGGAGGAACACCGGUGGCGAAGGCGGCCUGCUGGACUGUAACUGACGUUGAGGCUCGAAAGCGUGGGGAGCAAACAGGAUUAGAUACCCUCGUACCA
rnacentral:rRNA from 1 species